AAGCAGCUUGCUGUUUUGCUGACGAGUGGCGGACGGGUGAGUAAUGUCUGGGAAACUGCCUGAUGGAGGGGGAUAACUACUGGAAACGGUAGCUAAUACCGCAUAACGUCGCAAGACCAAAGAGGGGGACCUUAGGGCCUCUUGCCAUCGGAUGUGCCCAGAUGGGAUUAGCUAGUAGGUGGGGUAACGGCUCACCUAGGCGACGAUCCCUAGCUGGUCUGAGAGGAUGACCAGCCACACUGGAACUGAGACACGGUCCAGACUCCUACGGGAGGCAGCAGUGGGGAAUAUUGCACAAUGGGCGCAAGCCUGAUGCAGCCAUGCCGCGUGUAUGAAGAAGGCCUUCGGGUUGUAAAGUACUUUCAGCGGGGAGGAAGGGAGUAAAGUUAAUACCUUUGCUCAUUGACGUUACCCGCAGAAGAAGCACCGGCUAACUCCGUGCCAGCAGCCGCGGUAAUACGGAGGGUGCAAGCGUUAAUCGGAAUUACUGGGCGUAAAGCGCACGCAGGCGGUUUGUUAAGUCAGAUGUGAAAUCCCCGGGCUCAACCUGGGAACUGCAUCUGAUACUGGCAAGCUUGAGUCUCGUAGAGGGGGGUAGAAUUCCAGGUGUAGCGGUGAAAUGCGUAGAGAUCUGGAGGAAUACCGGUGGCGAAGGCGGCCCCCUGGACGAAGACUGACGCUCAGGUGCGAAAGCGUGGGGAGCAAACAGGAUUAGAUACCCUGGUAGUCCACGCCGUAAACGAUGUCGACUUGGAGGUUGUGCCCUUGAGGCGUGGCUUCCGGAGCUAACGCGUUAAGUCGACCGCCUGGGGAGUACGGCCGCAAGGUUAAAACUCAAAUGAAUUGACGGGGGCCCGCACAAGCGGUGGAGCAUGUGGUUUAAUUCGAUGCAACGCGAAGAACCUUACCUGGUCUUGACAUCCACGGAAGUUUUCAGAGAUGAGAAUGUGCCUUCGGGAACCGUGAGACAGGUGCUGCAUGGCUGUCGUCAGCUCGUGUUGUGAAAUGUUGGGUUAAGUCCCGCAACGAGCGCAACCCUUAUCCUUUGUUGCCAGCGGUCCGGCCGGGAACUCAAAGGAGACUGCCAGUGAUAAACUGGAGGAAGGUGGGGAUGACGUCAAGUCAUCAUGGCCCUUACGACCAGGGCUACACACGUGCUACAAUGGCGCAUACAAAGAGAAGCGACCUCGCGAGAGCAAGCGGACCUCAUAAAGUGCGUCGUAGUCCGGAUUGGAGUCUGCAACUCGACUCCAUGAAGUCGGAAUCGCUAGUAAUCGUGGAUCAGAAUGCCACGGUGAAUACGUUCCCGGGCCUUGUACACACCGCCCGUCACACCAUGGGAGUGGGUUGCAAAAGAAGUAGGUAGCUUAACCUUCGGGAGGGCGCUUACCACUUUGUGAUUCAUGACUGGGGUGAAGUCGUAACAAGGUAACCGUAGGGGAACCUGCGGUUGGAUCACCUCCUUACCUUAAAGAA
rnacentral:rRNA from 1 species